GAAGGGGUGUAUUUAUUAGAUAAAAAACCAAUGCCCUUCGGGGCUCUUUGGUGAUUCAUGAUAACUUUACGGAUCGCAUAGCCUUGCGCUGGCGACGGUUCAUUCAAAUUUCUGCCCUAUCAACUUUCGAUGGUAAGGUAUUGGCUUACCAUGGUUUCAACGGGUAACGGGGAAUUAGGGUUCGAUUCCGGAGAGGGAGCCUGAGAAACGGCUACCACAUCCAAGGAAGGCAGCAGGCGCGCAAAUUACCCAAUCCCGACACGGGGAGGUAGUGACAAUAAAUACUGAUACAGGGCUCUUUUGGGUCUUG
rnacentral:rRNA from 1 species